rnacentral:rRNA from 1 species
UACGUAGGGUGCAAGCGUUAAUCGGAAUUACUGGGCGUAAAGCGUGCGCAGGCGGUGAUGUAAGACAGAUGUGAAAUCCCCGGGCUCAACCUGGGACCUGCAUUUGUGACUGCAUCGCUAGAGUACGGUAGAGGGGGAUGGAAUUCCGCGUGUAGCAGUGAAAUGCGUAGAUAUCUGGAGGAACACCGGUGGCGAAGGCACUCUACUGGGCUAUUACUGACACUCAGAGACGAAAGCUAGGGGAGCAAAUGGG